GUUCUUGAAAUUUAAAAAAUUUGGCGGUAUUUUAGUCUAUUUAGAGGAGUCUGCCCUGUAAUUGAUAAUCCACGAUUUAUUGUACUUAAAUUAAAAGUUUAUAUAUCGUCGUAGUUGAAUACCUUAGGAGAGUUAAAGUAUUCAAUAUUUAUAAUAUAUAAUUUAAAUCAGAUCAAGAUAUAGCUUAUAUUUAAGAAGAGGUGGGUUACAAUAAAUUUUUAUUUAUAGUUAUUAUAAUUAAAAUUGUAAUUUAAAUUGGAUUUGAAAGUAAUUUAUUUUAAUUAAAAUAAAUGAUUUAAGCUCUAAAAUAUGCACAUAUCGCCCGUCGCUUCCAAUGAAAAUUUAAAUUGGAAUAAGUCGUAACAUAGUAGAUGUACCGGAAGGUGUAUCUAGUUUUCAAGUUAAAGCUUAAUAGAAGUUUUUUAUUUACAUUAAAAAGAUAAUUGUGAAAUUCAAUUUAAUUUGAAUUUAAAAAUUUAUUUAAAAUAUUUAUUUAAAAAAUAUAUUUAAAAAAAGUAUUUUUAUAUUUAUUUAUAAAUUUAGAUAAAAUUAUUUAUAAUUAUAGUUUAUUAUGUAUAGUAAUAGAAUAUUGAAAGAUUAAAAAUUAAAAUAUUUUAAAGAAAAAUUUAUUUUUUGUACCUUGUGUAUCAGGGUUUAUUUAAUAAUAAUUAUAUAUUAUAAUUUUCUCGAAUUUAAAAGAGUUAAGAAAUUAUAAAUUUUAUUGUAAAAUAAAUAUUUAAAAUAAUUUUUUAGUAAUGAAACGUUAUUCGUUUUUAAAUAUAUCUAGUUUUUUAAGAAAUAAAUUUAAUUUAGUUAUUUAUUUAAAUAAAAAUAAUUUUUUAUUUUUGAAUUUAUAUAUUUAAUUAAUAUUUUAAGGGAUAAGCUUUAAAGUAAAAUUUUAUAAAUUGAAAAUUUUAAAAAUAUAAAUUAAUAGGAUUAGAAUUUUUUAUUUUUUAUAGUAUGUUAUAAUAAAUUUAUAUUUAAAUUUAAUUUUUAUAUAAUUUUAAAUUUUUUAUUAAAAUUAUUUAUUUAAUAUAAAAUUAUAUGUAAUAAUGAUAAAAUUAGUAUAAUUAAAUUUUUAAAUUUUAAUGUAUAAUUAAUUUUAGAAUUAAAGGUUAAAUUAAGGAAUUCGGCAAAAAUUUUUUCUGCCUGUUUAUUAAAAACAUGUCUUUUUGAUUAUAAUUUAAAGUCGGGCCUGCUCAAUGAAAUUUAAAUAGCCGCGGUAUUUUGACCGUGCAAAGGUAGCAUAAUAAUUAGCUUUUUAAUUAAGAGCUAGAAUGAAUGGUUUGACAAGAAAAAAACUGUCUCAAUUUAAUUUAAAUUAGAAUUUUAUUUUUAAGUUAAAAAGCUUAAAUAUUUUUAAAAGACGAGAAGACCCUAUAGAGUUUUAUAAUAUAAUUAUUUAUUUAAAAUUUAGGUAUUUUAUAAUUAUAUAUAAUUAAUUAUAUUAUUAAGCUUUGGGUGAUUAAAAAAUUAAAUUAACUUUUUUUAUAUUUAA
rnacentral:rRNA from 2 species